CUCCCUCCCUCAUCACCGAUCAAUCUCCUACCUUAAACACCUCUCUCUCUCUCUCUCUCUCUCUCUGGAAAUCUCUCUCUCCCUCUCUCUGGAAUAUUGGGAUCACUCACAAAUCAGUCGUCUCUCUCUCUAUCACUCUCUCGAUCUUCAUCGCUCAUCACGGACCCCCUGUACGAUCCCUCGUCUGAAAUUGAAACUAGGUCGAAAUCCAGAGAUGAUCCAGAACUUGACAGAAUGUGUAAGGAGAGAGUUAGAUGGGGUGAUCCUAUGGCACAUUUGGUCAAGAAAAAGUAUCCUGAGCUUGUUCUAUCAGACCUAGGAGAUGAUGAUAAGAUGAAAGAAUCAGGGUUUAUAGUCCCUCAAGGCAUUCCUAGUCACAGCUGGUUAAAAAGAGGAUUAGAUGCUCCUCCAAACCGGUAUGCCAUCAGACCAGGGAGACACUGGGAUGGGGUCGAUCGUAGUAAUGGGUUUGAAAAGGAAAUCUUUAAAAGAACGAAUGAGAAACAGGCCACGGAAAGAGAAGCAUAUCUUUGGUCUGUAUCAGAUAUGUGAAGUGCAAGGACUGUAUUCUUCAUGCUGUUGCUACAGGGGUAAUACUCAGUUUAGUGUUUGUGUUAAGUGGUAGUUAGAGAUGAGUACAAGAAAAAUAGCUUGGAAAAGAAGUUCUGAUGUGCUGUAAAAAAUAAGGAUAGACAAUAAAAGAUGGUUAUAUACAUUGCCUGUAGUGCAUGCAGCCCUGUUCUUGCUUCUAUAAUAUUUUUGGGACAAGUUUUUUUACUAAUAUAAAUUGUUCUUUAGAAUACUCAUGCUUGACUGAUUUACAUCACAAGAUUGAGUGCUCAAUUGGUCACAUGGUUUGUUUUUGAUAUUGUAUACCACCUCAUUAUUUAUCCCAGUUUAAUGAUUUUAUAAGAUGAGUUGCAAUUGAAUGUAUUUAGAUUAGAUUAUAAAAGAGAGGAAUAUGUGUAUGCUCCAUUAAUGUUGAGAAGUUGUGAUGCUGUGCAUUUAUUCCUUCCAUCUAUAUGCUAGCAGCUACAUUGUAUUUGAUUAUGCUUCUACAGCUGUUGUUGUGAAGGGUCUCUUACAGAAGACAACUGAGGAAGAUUUAUCCCAGAUCCUUGUACUUUUCUACUCAAUAUUUUUAAUUACUUCAUUUGUUACUUCAUCUGGACAUAUGUGCAUAAUUAUAUGAGAGUAACAUUUUCAGUUAAUACAAAAACUAUUAUUUUUUGAAUUAUGUAUUGUCCAACUAAGUGUUUUUGCAUUGCGUGAUAGUAAUGUUUUGGUUACGGCAGAGGCUCUUGUAAUAUGUAUAUCUGAUUUUUUACAUUAAGCUGGUCGAUUUUCUUCCCCUCUUUGGCUGUCUAUUUUUCAUGUUCUAUUUAACAAUUAACCAUGAAUUAUACCAAAUUGGUGGAUUUUCUUUCCCUCUUUGGAAGCAGUGUAAUGAGCCACGAACAGCUGAUGCCCUACCAGCAGAUGUGGCAUCGUCAAAUCCCACAACAGUGGGGAAGAAAGGGGAGGCAGGUUAAUUUUUCUGAUGCUUUCACUUGGCGUGCAUUAGGAUCAUGUGUAGGAGAUUUGCUGAGUUGACAUUUCAUCAGGUCCUACCCAUGUCUUCGUUGUCCGUGGGUUGGAUGAAAAUGCUAAUGAAGAAAUGCUUUGUUAUGAGUGUUCCAAACAUGCUCCAAUUAAGGUAAAACAUGCUGGAUUUGUUAUAUAGGUUGCUGUAAUGUAAACAAAAACGGAAAGUCCAUAAUGGCUAAGGGCCGAUAGAUAUAUAAAUAUGUAUUGUUUACUUAUAUAUAAGGUACUGAAAUGUCUAUGCUGUGUUUCAUUCAAAUCUGCUGAAGUUGUACAUAUUUUAAAACUGUAAGAUCUUCGUCUGGUUAGAGACAAAUUUACUCAUGUUUCAAGGGGAUUUGCUUUUUUACAUUUUCAUACGGUAUGUGUAUUUUUUGUUGUUGAUUCAGCUGAAUGCUGACCUGAGUAAAUGUAUUUGUACACAUUAGUUUAUGGGUGAUGUAUAAAUAAGUGGCACGAUGGCAACCAGAGAUUGGGAUGGAAUUCUACCAAUUUUUGGAUUAACGUCAAUCAGUGCAUGCUUCAAACUUAUUAGAUAACUAAAUUUAUCCACAGUAGACUUGUCUCAGCACCCUUCAAAUGGUUUUGCGUUCCUUUCUCCUCAACUACUUGACGUUAAGCAAAGGAGCUGUGUCUCUCUCUGUCUUCAUCCUCCUAUAUUCUACUCCACGCCUCCAACUAUCUAGGUUGGAUGCUAAUUGUGGGAACACCCAAGUAACUCCAAACAUGGAACAAAUACCUAAAUCUCCUUAACAACACUAUAAUGAAUAAUUGGUGCAUUGUCUCCCUCGUGCUUUGUACAUAAAACAUCAAUUUGGAGUGUUGUGCUUUUGUAAAUCCAAAUUGGUGAGAAUCUUCUUAUGUGCAAUAGUUCACCCGAAAAAAUGGCCACCUUUGACCAAAUUCCCUUCUUUUAAGAGAAUAGUUGUUAGUGCUCAUCAACAGUUUUAUAACAAUUUUACAAGAGUGAUCCCACACAGCUCCGACAGAUUCAAGUAAAGUCCAACUGAGUUUUUUUGUCCAUUGUAAUCCCAUCUAGAGCUGGAACUAGCAACUUGAAGUCCCAGAGCAAGUAUCAUGCUGAAAGCUCACCCUGACACUCUUCUACAACAAACUAAUGAGUUUUUAUGCUUGUAUUAUCGUAUGCCAUGAAGAUUUCGCCUCUGAACUGCUAUUGAUGAAUGCACAUUAGUGUUUAAUGUAGAAUUGUGGCAAAGAAUGAGGACUGUUGAGGAGCACAAUUUAUGUGUAUUUUUCUCGAUUACCAUGUAAUGGGCUUGUGGUAAAUUAAGAAAUUCCCAUUUCUGAGUUUCAACAUUUAUUUACCAAGUCUAGCACAAUGGCCCGGCAUAAAGACUAUAUGAUCUUUCAUUUUUGCUCUCAAAAUGUCACUUGAUUUUGUCACACUGAUAUAAUUUUGAUUAGACAAAUGGGACUGCUUAGCUGAUUUAUGAGUUGCAACGGGGCUUCACUUUAAAAACUACUUGAAAGAGAUAAAGCUUGCUUCAAGGAGCAGUAUUCUGGCCAACAAGAAGAAAAUGAGUAAUGUGAAUGUGGAAGCAGAGGAGUCAUGAAGGACAAGCACCCCGUGUAGCUCUUGAUUACAAUCAGCCAUCUGCUUCAGCUGAAGAUAAAUCCAAUUCUGUUGGAGCGUCCACAAGGAGCAGGUACAAAAUGGAAGCAGUGAUCACGAAGGAGAAUAUAACUACCAGUUCUGGAUUUACCACAGCCAGAUCUACAACUGCUGCCCAGUCAGGAUAAGCCAAGGUCGGUGAGUAACAGCUCAGGGGGUACUGUAAAGGGGGUAAUUAGAGGAAGGGUUGUGGUGAAAUCAGAUAUCCUGGAACUUUAGUGGGAGCUUCAUCCUCUUCAUCUGCUGCUCCUGCUGCUGCAUACCCUGCUGGUUCUUCAUCAAUGAAUGCAGAUGCACCCAAAACUGUGACACCUUUUAGAAUAGAUGCAUCUGCUUUGGGUUCUUACACACCACCAGUGACUUCUGGAAGCGGCAAGGGGAGGUUUUCUGAGAUGCCAGUGCAGUCAGCUUCUACUCACAAGGAACAAUCUCAAACUACCUAUCAGGAUUGGGCAGCUGAGAGGAGGAGCUUGUAUGGUUCAACAUCUUCUAUUGGAGACGAUGUAUCUGACCUUGGGAUUGGGGAUUCAAGUAACCUCACUUGACAAUUUGUUAUAUAGUGGCUUAGCCCUUGACUCCAUGUCAUGAAGCCAUUCUUGAAUGCACCUUUUAGAUUGAUAGAAAUACCUGAAAAGAGUAGAAUCAUUGCACUUGGUAAUUUAAGUAGUUUUAUACAUAUAGCCGUGGGACAUUUGAUUUGACAAAAUUUAGUUGAGUUGUGAUUUGUAAGUGUAGUUAUAUAUGAGGUCAGUGGUCGAUUGUUUGCUUUAUGUUUCUCAGUAUUUGUAUUAACUUGUUAGAAAAUCCCUUGUUUUUAGGUAAUCUUGAACUUUCAAGUUCGAGAUUCAUCAUCCAAAAGGGUUUAAUCGAUUCGGUGCCUUUUCCCCCCUGGUGUUGGGGGAGGACAUGGUUUUGGAGAUAGAGUCAUGAGGUGAUUACAGCAGACAAAGCCAUUAAUGAGAGUAAUGUGGGAAACUGGAUGCUUCGCAACAUGGGCUGGUAGGAAGGCUUGGUAAUUGUAGACACCCCAUUUUUGACCGACCUUAAGAAUCAGACGUCACCAGUUGAGCGCUCGGUGAUACUACAUAUCGUGCUCGUUUAGAAGUCUCAGAGUCACGGUCGU